GACCACAGCCUUAUCACCCUGCAGCCCAAGCCUGCUGCCCACUGAAGCUAAGCAGGGUUGAGCCUAGUCAGUACCUGGAUGGGAGACCUCCUGGGAAAACUAGGUUGCUGUUGGAA
rnacentral:rRNA from 1 species